GACGAACGCUGGCGGCGUGCUUAACACAUGCAAGUCGAACGGUGAAGGGACUGGUUUUGCUGGUCCUGGAUGAGUGGCGAACGGGUGAGUAACACGUGAGUAACCUGCCCCCUUCUUCUGGAUAACCGCAUGAAAGUGUGGCUAAUACGGGAUAUUCUGGGUCUGUCGCAUGGUGGGCCUGGGAAAGAUUGCGCCUUUUUUGGUGUUUUUGGUGGGGGAUGGGCUCGCGGCCUAUCAGCUUGUUGGUGGGGUGAUGGCCUACCAAGGCGGUGACGGGUAGCCGGGCUGAGAGGGUGGACGGUCACACUGGGACUGAGACACGGCCCAGACUCCUACGGGAGGCAGCAGUGGGGAAUAUUGCACAAUGGGCGCAAGCCUGAUGCAGCGACGCCGCGUGAGGGAUGGAGGCCUUCGGGUUGUGAACCUCUUUCGCCAGUGAAGCAGGCCUGCCUCUUUUUGUGGGUGGGUUGACGGUAGCUGGAUAAGAAGCGCCGGCUAACUACGUG
rnacentral:rRNA from 1 species